UCCACUAAAGUGCAGCCCAUAAGUGAGUGAGAAAAAAAUGUACCAACCCCUUUCCCCGUGGUGUCUUCCCAACCUUUCCCCGUGAACCCGAUAGAAUUGCUCCUGGACCAUGCCCCUGGCUAUCCUCAGCCCAGACCAGCACUUCUGUCAGCCAGACACAGGAAAGCUCUGGGCUUCAUGGUAUGUCUUAGGGCCACCUGCCCACAACAGCAUGUCCCCACUUUGCGGGGGGUGACCUUCUCAGCAACGGUCUCAUAGCAGGGAAGCUUUAAUUACACCAUCAAGAGCCCUGGAUGACCCAGUCUCGUGGCUGUUGUGGGCUGCGUUUUUAGACAUCAGCUUGGAUGGGGGUCAUCAGAGGAGCAGGGACAGGGUGGCUGCCACCAGGGGAUUUUUGUUUAGGGAGAAUGCACUGUGGAACUGAAACACCGGGUAUGCACUCCUCUUUGGCAAAGGCACCUCACUGAUGGUCACACCCGAUAUCCAAGACCCCAACCCCUCUGUGUACCAGCUGAGAGGCUCUAAGUCCAGCAACACUUCUGUCUGCCUGUUCACCGAUUUCGAUUCUAAAGCCAACGUGUCACAUGGCUCAGAUCCCGGGGUGUUCGGCUCAGGACAAACUGUGGUGGACAUGAAGUCCACAGAUUCCAAGAGCAACGGGGCCCUGGCCUGGAGCAACAACACAGGUUUUGAGUGUAAUUACGUCUUCGGCGAGUCCACCGACUUCUACUCCAGCUCAGAAACUUCCUGUGAUGCCAAGUUGACAGAGAAAAGCUUUGAAACAGAUGCAAACUUAAACUUUCAAAACCUGUAUGUGAUCGGCCUUCGCAUCCUUCUCCUGAAAGUGGCUGGAUUUAACCUGCUCAUGACACUGCGGCUAUGGUCUAGCUGAGGUCACCGAGAUUGUAGGAGACCCUAUGCUCCCUCACUCCUCCUCCUUGUCACCCAUCCUCUCCCCCUUCAAGCAGAGAAGUGAACUCUCCGCCCCGCAUGGAAAAGAAGGCUCCCACUGACUCCCUGGCCCCAGCUGGCAAUGCCACCAACUGGAUUCUACCCAGCACUGGUGACCAAGAUGCUGAAGAGCUACCAUAUAUAUUGCAAGCCCCUCUGUUCCCUUAUUGCUGCUUUUCACCACCUGAGGUUCACGGCAAGGGGAGGGCUGCUGCCACCUCUCCUGGCUGUGGAGAGACACCCUCCUCCCAAGAGACUGUGACAGGCCCUCAGUGGGUUCUCUUGGACCCUAUCUCCUGGAAAUGUUUUGAGGAGUCUGUAUUUUUUUUUUAAAGAGUGUUCAUAUAGAAAUCCAUAUUACUCUUCUCCAAAGAAGUGGAGAAAACAAUCUCGUUAUCUGGGCCCUGCUGUGCUGUGUAUCUGAGUCAUGUAUAUUCUGCUGCCCACAGCUUCAUUAAAAGUGAUUUGGAAGAGCAAAGGCUGUGCUCCUGAUUGA